GUCACCGGCCAUCCCCGCCGUCGGGUGUGAGGUGUCCUUUAGACUGUGAAAGAAUGAGGAUGAGCCUUGGGUUGACCUUUAGCAAGGGUCAUUGCACCGCAAACCUCAGCCGACAGUGCUCGCGUGGAUCCCUCGGAUUAUUCGUGCCACCGAGCCCUCCUCUGGACCCUGAGAAGGUCAAAGAAUUCCAGCGCUUCAUCACCCUUUCCAAGCGACUCCUUGUGAUGACCGGGGCUGGAAUCUCCACCGAGUCAGGGAUCCCCGACUACAGGUCAGAGAAGGUGGGACUUUAUGCGCGCACCGACCGGAGGCCCAUCCAGCAUGGCGACUUUGUCCGGAGCGCACGAAUCCGCCAGCGCUACUGGGCGAGAAACUUCGUGGGCUGGCCACAGUUCUCUUCCCACCAGCCUAACCCUGCACACUGGGCUUUGAGCAGGUGGGAGAAACUCGGAAAGCUGCACUGGCUGGUGACCCAGAACGUGGACGCCUUGCAUACCAAGGCGGGGAGCCAGCGCCUGACAGAGCUUCACGGAUGCAUGCACAGGGUCCUCUGCUUGAACUGUGGGGAGCAGACUCCCCGGGGGGUGCUGCAGGAGCGUUUUGAGGUCCUGAACCCCACCUGGAGUGCCGAGGCCCACGGCCUGGCGCCCGACGGUGACGUCUUUCUCUCGGAGGAACAGGUUCAGAGCUUUCGGGUCCCGGCCUGUGCUCGGUGCGGAGGCCCUCUGAAGCCAGACGUCGUUUUCUUCGGGGACACAGUGAACCCUGACAAGGUUGACUUUGUGCACAAGCGUGUGAAAGAAGCCGACUCCCUCUUGGUGGUGGGAUCGUCCUUGCAGGUGUAUUCUGGUUACAGGUUUAUCCUCACCGCCCGGGAGAAGCAGCUCCCAAUUGCAAUACUCAACAUUGGGCCUACACGGUCGGAUGACUUGGCAUCUCUGAAACUGGACUCUCGUUGUGGAGAGUUGCUGCCAUUGAUAGACCCGCACUGACCACAGCCACACCCCUGUGCCAGAAAUGGGUACUUGAAUCCUGCUGCCACAGCUGUCAGAAUGCAACACCUGCCCUGAACCGACCACAGACAAGAAACAGUUCGUUCCCAAGUGGCCUCUGAAGUUGAUUUGCUCCUGCCCAGAAAAGCUGCAGGACUUGUUUAACUACUCUCUCAGCCAGAAAGAGUCUGUAUCAGGCUAUGGCUUUCUGCACAAUCUCACCAGAAAGUCAAGCGGAUGGAAGAAGCAGAGCCUACCGCCGGUAGCCUUUUGUCUAAAAUUAGGGCAGGCAAUACUAACUCACACUACCCCGCCUAGGAAGCACGUUUCAGUUACCUGGGAUAAUCUCAGAUCUUGAAAACACAGAGUUCUUUUCACCUCCAUAAAGACAAAGAUCCUAAAGUGCUUUGAAACAGAUUUUCUCAGUUACCCAAAGACGGUACUAAGGGGCCAGCAGGUGGCAUGGUGGUUAAAGGCUGUGGUUCAAGUCCUGGACCUGAUGGUUUGCUUUCUCACUUUCUCUCUC